rnacentral:misc_RNA from 2 species
CAGAGUUACCAAACUCCAAACCCAUGUGAACUUACCAGUUUGUUGCCUCGGCAGGCCUCUGCAUCUCGCCUCCGGGCGGGUGCGGAUCUCACAGGUCUGCCGGCGGCCCAUCUAAACUCAUGAAUUACCCUGUAAAUCUGAGCGUUUUAAACAAAUAAGUUA